ACAGUGGACGCGAGCAUCUUUGUUGUAAGUAAUGAAGAGCGUACGGUGGAUGCCUUGGCACCAGGAGCCGAUGAAGGACGUAGGAGGCUGCGAUAAGCCUCGGGGAGCUGUCAACCGAGCUGAGAUCCGAGGGUGUCCGAAUGGGGAAACCCAGCACGAGUGAUGUCGUGUUACCUGCACCUGAAUAUAUAGGGUGUGUGGAGGGAACGUGGGGAAGUGAAACAUCUCAGUACCCACAGGAAGAGAAAACAACAGUGAUUCCGUCAGUAGUGGCGAGCGAACGCGGAAGAGGCCAAACCAUGUGCAUGUGAUACCCGGCAGGGGUUGUGCGUGUGGGGUUGUGGGGUUUGUUUUUGUCGAUUCUGCCGGAUCGGCCGACAGUAAGAAAUCAUGUGGUUAGUCGAAGUGGUCUGGGAUGGCCUGUCGUAGAGGGUGAGAAUCCCGUAGACGAAAACUGUGUGACUGUCGAAGUGAAUGCCCAAGUAGCAGCGGGCCCGUGAAAUCUGCUGUGAAUCUGUCGGGACCACCCGAUAAGCCUGAAUACUCCCUGGUGACCGAUAGCGGACUAGUACCGUGAGGGAAAGGUGAAAAGUACCCCGGGAGGGGAGUGAAAUAGUACCUGAAACCGUGCGCUUACAAUCCGUCAGAGCCUGUGCACACUUCGGUGUGGUGGGUGAUGGCGUGCCUUUUGAAGAAUGAGCCUGCGAGUUAGUGGUAUGUGGCGAGGUUAACCCGUGUGGGGUAGCCGUAGCGAAAGCGAGUCCGAAUAGGGCGUUCCAGUCGCAUGCUCUAGACCCGAAGCGGAGUGAUCUACCCAUGGCCAGGGUGAAGCGACGGUAAGACGUCGUGGAGGCCCGAACCCACUUAGGUUGAAAACUGAGGGGAUGAGUUGUGGGUAGGGGUGAAAGGCCAAUCAAACUCCGUGAUAGCUGGUUCUCCCCGAAAUGCAUUUAGGUGCAGCGUCGCGUGUUUCAUCCUGGAGGUAGAGCUACUGGAUGGUCUAGAGGGCCCACAAGCUUAUCGAAAUCAGCCAAACUCCGAAUGCCAGGAUGUGAGAGCGCGGCAGUGAGACUGCGGGCGAUAAGGUUCGUAGUCGAGAGGGAAACAGCCCAGAUCGCCGGCUAAGGCCCCUAAGCGUGUACUAAGUGGAAAAGGAUGUGAAGUCGCGAAGACAACCAGGAGGUUGGCUUAGAAGCAGCCACCCUUGAAAGAGUGCGUAAUAGCUCACUGGUCAAGUGAUUUUGCGCCGACAAUGUAGCGGGGCUCAAGUACACCGCCGAAGCCGCGGCAUUCGCACAAUAGCCCGCGCACAUCCUACGGGGUGUGUGCCAGGUGUGUGGAUGGGUAGGGGAGCGUCGUGUGGCCAGGGAAGCGCCGGAGUGAUCCAGGUGUGGAGGCCACGCGAGUGAGAAUGCAGGCAUGAGUAGCGAAAGACGAGUGAGAAACUCGUCCGCCGAAUGAUCAAGGGUUCCUGGGCCAGGUUAAUCCGCCCAGGGUGAGUCGGGACCUAAGGCGAGGCCGACAGGCGUAGUCGAUGGACAACGGGUUGAUAUUCCCGUACCCGUGUAUCCGCGCCCAUGAUGAAUCAGGAGUACUAACCGUCCAGAGCCACCAGGAGCACCUUCGGGUGCCGGGUGUGGUGAUGCACGGGACCUUUCCUGGUAGUAGUCAAGCGAUGGGGUGACGCAGGAAGGUAGCUGAGCCAGUCAGUGGUAACACUGGUGUAAGCCUGUAGGGCGAGACCUAGGCAAAUCCGGGUCUCACACAGCCUGAGAGGUGAUGCAUAGCCGAAUGAGGCGAAUUCAGUGAUCCUAUGCUGCCGAGAAAAGCCUCUAGCGAGCUGGUACACGGCCCGUACCCCAAACCGACACAGGUGAUCAGGUAGAGAAUACCAAGGCGAUCGAGAUAACUAUGGUUAAGGAACUCGGCAAAAUGCCCCCGUAACUUCGGGAGAAGGGGGACCCCUGCUGGUGAU
rnacentral:rRNA from 1 species